UCCACGCCCUAAACGAUGAACACUAGUCGUCGGGAUGCUAGUCAUCUCGGUGAUGCACUUAACAGAUUAAGUGUUCCGCCUGGGGAGUACGGUCGCAAGAUUAAAACUCAAAGGAAUAGACGGGAACCCACACAAGCGGUGGAUUGCGGGGUUUAAUUCGAUAAUAAGCGAGUAACCUUACCCAGACUUGACAUCCUGUUCGUAGAUUUUAGAGAUAAUUUCGUCGGUUCGGCCGGAACAGUGACAGGCGUUGCAUGGUUGUCGUCAGCUCGUGCCUUGAGGUGUGCGGUUAAG
rnacentral:rRNA from 1 species